AUAGGAUGGGCCCGCGUAAGAUUAGCUAGAUGGUGAGGUAAUGGCUCACCAUGGCGACGAUCUUUAGCUGGUCUGAGAGGAUGAUCAGCCACACUGGGACUGAGACACGGCCCAGACUCCUACGGGAGGCAGCAGUAGGGAAUCUUCCACAAUGGACGAAAGUCUGAUGGAGCAACGCCGCGUGAGUGAAGAAGGAUCUCGGUUCGUAAAACUCUGUUGCAAGGGAAGAACAAGUAGCGUAGUAACUGGCGCUACCUUGACGGUACC
rnacentral:rRNA from 1 species